rnacentral:rRNA from 1 species
CUACGGGCUGCUCCAGUGGGGAAUAUUGGACAAUGGGGGAAACCCUGAUCCAGCAAUGCCGCGUGUGUGAAGAAGGCCUGCGGGUUGUAAAGCACUUUCGGUUGGGAGGACUGCUUCUAGCACUAAUAUUGUUGGAAGUUGACGUUACCUUCAGAAGAAGCACCGGCUAACUCCGUGCCAGCAGCCGCGGUAAUAGCGGAGGGUGCAAGCGUUAAUCGGAAUUACUGGGCGUAAAGCGCGCGUAGGCGGCUAGAUCAGUCGGGUGUGAAAGCCCCGGGCUUAACCUGGGAACUGCAUCCGAUACUGUCUAGCUUGAGUACAGGAGAGGAGAGUGGAAUUCCACAUGUAGCGGUGAAAUGCGUAGAUAUGUGGAGGAACACCAAUGGCGAAGGCAGCUCUCUGGCCUGAUACUGACGCUGAGGUGCGGAAGCGUGGGGAGCAAACAGGAUUAGAUACCCUUGUAGUC